rnacentral:lncRNA from 1 species
CUUCCUGAACCUGGGCAGUUUAUAAGAAGUCAAACAAAAACAAUUUUUUGGCAACUUUAGGAUUUUAGUUAUCCUACAGUCUUGCCUAAGAGAUAACUGGCAGGAUCAUAUAGGUAUGAUAUCUAAACAUAUAAAAUAAUCACAGCAGUCCUAUAAGCGUGAUCUCUAACGCAUAUAAAAUGACCACAACAGUCCUAUAGGCGUGAUCUCUAACGCAUAUAAAAUGACUACAACAGUCUUAUAGGCAUUAUCUCUACCCGUUCCCAACAAAGAUAUAUGAGAUCCUUCCCAGCUUUCACUAAUAAACCCAAUAUCUAUUUUUACAAGAAUUAUUAUAACAUACCAAUAUAAAUGAAUUACAUAAUGAAAAUCACUAUACUAUAGAGAGCCUUUAUAGGCCCAACAUAAACUUGGAACCAAGCCUCCAAACACAGCACCUCUGAGCGUAGUGGUAGUCCCAUACAUAACACAUAAAGAUGGUUCCUGGUGUGUCAAAGUACUCAAGGGCCUUAGGGACUCCGGGCAGUGCUCACACCAGAAUCAGAUGUCCAAGACACAGUUCAUAAAGGAUUGAAAACCAAUCUCAAUGUGUCAGAUUCAGAGGAGUUUCCUGGACCCUAAGGAGUGCUCACAUUGGGGGGGGGGGGGGGNNNN